GCACUGCGCAGGUGCAGGUCGAAGCGCUGUGGGCCGGGUGGUCUGCUCUCGCCUGGACCGUUGGGUGGGCGGGCUCGCGGGGGAGGUUCAGGACAGGGUGUUCCUGCACCCAGCGCGGCCAUGGAUAACCCUGGCGGCCGCAGUGCGCUGCAGGCAAGAAGCGUGGGCGCAGGCGGCUGCAGGCCGUGGGCGGCAGCCGCGGAGGAGGCCAGCGUGGAGUACGGCUCCGCCCGGUACCUGCUGCUGUGCGGCUUGGGCGGGAUGCUGAGCUGCGGACUGACGCACACGGCCAUCGUGCCCCUGGACCUGGUCAAGUGCCGCAUGCAAGUGGAUCCCGGCCGGUACAAGGGCAUCCUGAGCGGCUUCGGCGUGACAGUGCGCGACGACGGGCUGCGCGGCCUGGCCCGCGGCUGGGCCCCGACCUUCUUCGGCUACUCUCUGCAGGGCUUCUUCAAGUUCGGCCUUUAUGAGGUCUUCAAGAUCCGCUACGCGGAGCUUCUGGGCCCAGAGAAGGCCUACGCAUGGAGAACCGGCCUGUACCUGGUGGCCUCGGCCAGCGCCGAGUUCUUCGCCGACAUCGCGCUGGCGCCCAUGGAGGCAGUCAAGGUCCGCGUGCAGACGCAGGCAGGCUACGCCAGCACCCUGCGGGCCGCGGCGCCCAGGAUGUAUGGCGAGGAGGGCCUGUGGGCCUUCUACAAGGGCGUGGCGCCGCUGUGGCUGCGGCAGAUCCCCUACACCAUGAUGAAGUUCGCCUGCUUCGAGCGCACGGUGGAGGCGCUCUACAAAUACGCGGUGCCCAAGCCCCAGAGCCAGUGCACCAAGGCCGAGCAGCUGGGCGUCACCUUCGUGGCCGGCUACAUCGCCGGCGUCUUCUGCGCUAUCGUGUCCCAUCCCGCUGACUCGGUGGUGUCUGUGCUGAACAAGGAGAAAGGCAGCACGGCCCUGGGCGUCCUCCGAAGACUGGGGUUCGUGGGCGUGUGGAAGGGCCUCUUUGCGCGCAUCCUCAUGAUCGGCACCCUAACGGCCCUGCAGUGGUUCAUCUACGACCUGGUCAAGGUGUAUCUCAAGCUGCCUCGCCCUCCCGUGGCACAAGCGCCCGAACCGCUGAAGAAGAAAAAGUAGGCAUGGAGUUGUGAGCCGUUGUAGACACAGUGGGUCCAGAUUUCCAUCAACUAGGGAAUCAGAUGCACACAGCGCUAGUGUGUAAGAUGUUAACAUUUUGGGGAGAGGUUACUUAAUAUGCAGUCUGAGUUCUCUUUAAAUGACUGAUUGCUUCUUUUUGGCAAUUCCAGAGGAUUGCAAACGUUUCGUUUGGGGGUUUGAACCAUUAUCUUUGGGGAGUUGGCAUGGUUGCUUUAAACUCAAUAGCUCUUCAGCAAUUAAAAGGAAAAAAUUCUUGACAGUAAGUAAUGUUAGGUAGUUUAGGGUCUCUAGGUGUUAUCUCCUUUGAUUCGCCCUUUCUGUAGAGAUUAUCCAAGCAUAACUACUGAACAGCCUACAAAUGAGGUUUUAAGGUCAGCACAACUAUAUGGACGGGGAACAAAGUGAGAUUCUGGUACGUGGUGUUCAUCUCAAUAGAAAUCCGGCACCUAUUGAAUAGAUGAAGGACUCGUCGCAUAUUUCCUGUUCAUGUCCAUUACAGGUAAAAAUUAUUAAACGUUAAAUUGUGACUUAUACUGCCUGGUAGCUUAGAAUGUAUUCGCUGUUUUCAAAGAGACAUGAGAAGAUCUGCAUUUUCUCCUUUUGCUUUGUCCCUUCUCUUCCUGAUGUUGCUGAUUAGAACAUAGCUCUCUCCAGGAAGUGCCACAAUUGGAUCAAUGUGGAAAGCCAGAAAGAGAUGAAGGGCAGGCUCUGGGAAUAAAUAUGUAAAGAAAAGCCUCUGUUCUCCAAAGAUUUCUUUUGUAUAACUCAGCUUUCAACAGCCAUACAUCCAAAGAAGACCAUACCCCCCUGACAUUUAAAAAAAAAAAAAGUGAAGAAAAAACCCCAAACCCUGCAAAUUCCAACUACUGUCUGUUGAAUAUUAAAAAAUGGUUUUGGUUACUUUGGAGGGAAAAUCUCACGUUAAGUAUAGUAAAUGCUCCACUUAAUUUGGUAGAUGUUUCAGUAAUCUUUAAAAUGGUUGAGAUUCAUAAAAUUUAUUGAAAUUAAAAGCAUGUUUUUGGGUCUCUGUAGCCUUCACAUCUCUGAUUGGGGAAAUUUUACAAUCAGUGAAAUUCUGUGGAUUAGAGAUGUUUGUAAAAUGUGUAUAAGAAAGUUCAAUAAGGCAUUUGAUAUAACUUACCAAAAUGUAACGUGAUUGCCUUAAAAAGUUAUUUAAAUUAGACUACAAACUUAGAAUAUGUUAAUGUUUAAACUUUGUAAUAGUAAACUGUUUAGCAGUUAACAGAAGUUUAAAAGUGUCUAGAUUUAAGUAUGUCUGAAUUGUCUUGGUUGAAUAAUAAAGAGAU